GUCAAACCGGAGGAAGGCGGGGACGACGUCAAGUCAUCAUGGCCUUUAUGUUCAGGGCUGCACACGUCAUACAAUGCAACAUACAAAGGGCAGCUAACCCGCGAGGGGGCGCUAAUCUCAAAAAGUGUUGCUCAGUUCGGAUUGUAGGCUGCAACUCGCCUACAUGAAGCUGGAAUCGCUAGUAAUCGUAGGUCAUCUAUACUACGGUGAAUAUGUUCCUGAGCCUUGUACACACCGCCCGUCAAGCCACGAAAGCGGGGGGCGCCUAAAGUCGCUGUGCUAACCUUCGGGAGGCAGGCGCCUAGGGCGAACUUCGUGAUUGGGACUAAGUCGUAACAAGGUAGCCGUAGGGGAACCUGCGGCUGGAUCACCUCCUUUCUAAGGA
rnacentral:rRNA from 1 species